rnacentral:rRNA from 1 species
AGUGAACGCUGGCGGUAGGCCUAACACAUGCAAGUCGAACGGCAGCACAGUAAGAGCUUGCUCUUACGGGUGGCGAGUGGCGGACGGGUGAGGAAUACAUCGAAAUCUACUUUUUCGUGGGGGAUAUCGUAGGGAAACUUACGCUACUACAGCAUACGUCCUACGGGUGAAAGCAGUGGAUCUUCGGACCUUGCGCGAUUGAAUGAGCCGAAGCCGGAUUAGCUAGUUGGCGGGGUAAAGGCCCACCAAGGCGACGAUCCGUAGCUGGUCUGAGAGGAUGAUCAGCCACACUGGAACUGAGACACGGUCCAGACUCCUACGGGAGGCAGCAGUAGGGAAUAUUGGACAAUGGGCGCAAGCCUGAUCCAGCCAUACCGCGUGAGUGAAGAAGGCCUUCGGGUUGUAAAGCCCUUUUGUUAGGAAAGAAAAGCAGCAGGUUAAUACCCCGCUGUUCUGACGGUACCCAAAGAGUAAGCACCGGCUAACUUCGUG